rnacentral:rRNA from 1 species
AACGUAGGCACCAAGCGUUAUCCGGAUUUACUGGGCGUAAAGCGCGGUCAGGCGGCCGACCAAGUCGGGCAUGAAAGCGCGCGGCUCAACCGCGCGAGGCUGUCCGAUACUGGCCGGCUUGAGGGCAGGAGAGGGUGGUGGAAUUCCGGGUGUAGUGGUGAAAUGCGUAGAGAUCCGGAGGAACACCUGUGGCGAAGGCGGCCACCUGGCCUGCCCCUGACGCUGCCCCGCGACAGCUCGGGGAGCGAACGGG